UUUUUUUUUUUUUUCUCUUCGGUCGAUCCUGUCAAUGUUUUUUUUUUUUUUUUGUUAUUUACAUAUGUUUUUUCAUAGAUAAUUUUCUUCAAUAAGACCAAUAUAAAAAUAAUUAUACACGAGUAUGAAAUCGUGUUUAAACAGAACAUAGUUACACAUGAUUUUCUAGUCAUUUUCGUCCAUGGCAUAUUUGAUUUUGCCCUAAAAUUGUUUUUCUUAAAAGGUUGUACCAGUCUUCUACGUCUUUUGCAUUUAUGAUUUUCAAUUUAGCCUUCUAUUGUCUUGUUUAUACUUUUGAUCUAACACUCGAGUUUAGGCGAGAAGUUUUAUAUUUGAUUUUUCCUUUUAAAGUCAAACUUACAUAAUUUUGUUAUAAGCCUUAGUCUGACUUGUUUUGCCCAACCCUUGGACCCGCAUGUGACUUAGUGUAGAGCCUACAACCCGAUCCAUCCUCUUGACACGUCUUACCUGGGAGUGCCAAGUGUCAAUACGAGAUAAUUUUGUAGAAUUUCACGCCUGGAAAGGGUCGAAUGCGUGAAUCAAUAGUUGCCACGUGUCUCUCUAAGGGUGUGCAUAUCCUUCACCCAGGUGCGUUUGUAUUCGCUCGUGGGGAGCUCUUUUGGCUCAUGAAAGCGUCUAUGUUGCGUAUGAGUCGUGUUUUGUCUCGUACUAACACUAAUUUUACUUGAAUUAGGGCCUCCUAAAGAAUUUUUAGAAAUUUUGGAGCCUUUUAACAUGCAUAAAACUAGCUCAAGAAGGCAUGUGUCAUUCAAGUAAGCAACCACACGGACUCUAGGCAAGUAAUACAUAUAGGGAUCGCUAGGACGUCCUAGCAUGCCAGUAUUUUUUUCCUUAAAUGGAUCGAAAUUGCAUAUUAAAAACUUUGGAAGCACGUUUUUGGAUGAGUAUGUACCCUAUGUAUUUUAUGAAAAUAAAAUUACUACUAUGCCCUAGAUUGAGAUUUUCAAGAAACAUGUUUUAUAUUUUAUGUAAUGCUAGAGAGAGAAGAUGCAUAACAAGAAUACGAGUUAGGAAACAUGGACAAGUAAGUUAGUAACAGGUAAGAAAUUACCAAAAUGCUGUUAUGAUAAAAUUUGUGAUGAAUAUUGUUUUAUAUGCUUUCCACUGUAUUAGAAAGGUGCAUGGGCUAUUGUCCUUUGUGCUUCGGGCGAGGUGGAUGUUAUAUCCUCAUUGAGCUUGUUUGCUUGUUUGUUUGUUUGUUUGCAUGAAUAUUUUAAUUAAUGUUUUUCAGAGUUUUAGGUGAUUGAUAGGAUAUCUCCCUAAUCAUCUUCUACGAAUAUCGAGACUAUAUAAACAAUGCUCUGGGUGAUUGAUAAGGUAAUUUCUCUAGCAAAGCAUGCACAAGAGGGUCGAGCUAAGAUUAGGGCGUGAUAGGUAGAGUAGAUUCAAUAUUAAUUUGCGUCAGUAUGUUUUCAGUAGACCUUGAACCCCCAGGAUUGAGAGCGAUAAAAGGUUUAGACCUGUGUGCACCCCGAGAUUUGAUUAGUCUCGAGAAGCUAACCUCGAACAUCCUAAAAGUGAGAGAUUAGAUUUAAACUACCUAGACGCCUAAAUAACUUAGUAAACCUCCAUGGCAUUCAAAACUGACAAAGGUAGCUCUUCAAGCCACUAGUAGCAUAUGCAGUAUCAUCAGUUUAACAUUUGAUAACCGUAUCAUGGAUGAGACUACUUAUAUUUGUGUGACCUAAUAGUUCAGUUGGAUAACCGUGAAAAUUCAUCCAAUGAUGGGACAUGGAUCACUCUUCUAAUGCAGAUCCAUCUUAUGGUGGGACGUGGAUCACACGAAUAAUGCAGAUCCAUCUUAUGGUGGGACAUGGAUCACACAGGUAGUCGUUGGAGCUGGCACGCACAGGGAGUCACUCUCCUGACUUUGGGUGACUAUAUGUUGUGGAUGAGUUCAUUAGCUAACUUUCCAGAGAUGACGGUAUACUAACACACACAAUAUUGUCCCCACUAGAUAGAGAGUUCUACGAGGUAGUGCCUCAACUCCAGACGCUGGUUAUAUACUGGCUAGACAAAGAAAGCUACCUAAAUCAAAUAACAAAAGAGCAAUUCGCCACAGAGAUGGGACUUGUCGCUUGGCCGACCUGUGACAUCAGAAAAGGGUGAACCACCUCCUUCGAACCCAUAGUGAAUCUAUGAGGAGGUAAAGUACCACUUGGAAGUUCGAGGCUCCCUAGAUGCUCAGAUGGUAGUAGGAACUAGGCCCGAACUUCCUAGAGUCCAAAGUGUUCGCAGAUUGCUAGUCGAGGUGGAGAAGCAUUCGAGAGCUGUGCAGUCACAGAGGGGGUCGUUUUAGAGUACUAGUCCACUUUUGUAUUUGAGAGCAAUCCAGUUCAUUCCAUGCAUCUAAGUUUAGUUUAUCUGAGAAUCGAGUUAGAAUAUUUAUUAAGUAGUGUAUUCUAUAGAAGAUAGUCAUUGGA